rnacentral:rRNA from 1 species
AGUGAACGCUGGCGGUAGGCCUAACACAUGCAAGUCGAACGGCAGCACAGUAAGAGCUUGCUCUUACGGGUGGCGAGUGGCGGACGGGUGAGGAAUACAUCGGAAUCUACUUUUUCGUGGGGGAUAACGUAGGGAAACUUACGCUAAUACCGCAUACGACCUACGGGUGAAAGCAGGGGAUCUUCGGACCUUGCGCGAUUGAAUGAGCCGAUGUCGGAUUAGCUAGUUGGCGGGGUAAAGGCCCACCAAGGCGACGAUCCGUAGCUGGUCUGAGAGGAUGAUCAGCCACACUGGAACUGAGACACGGUCCAGACUCCUACGGGAGGCAGCAGUGGGGAAUAUUGGACAAUGGGCGCAAGCCUGAUCCAGCCAUACCGCGUGAGUGAAGAAGGCCUUCGGGUUGUAAAGCCCUUUUGUUGGGAAAGAAAAGCAGCAGGUUAAUACCCCGCUGUUCUGGCGGUACCCAAAGAAUAAGCACCGGCUAACUUCGUG